GCUGGGAUGGCUCAGUCAGUAGAGCAUGAGACUCCUAUUCUCGGGGUUGUGAGUUCGAGCCCCACAUUGGGCA